rnacentral:lncRNA from 1 species
UUGUUUCUCAUGUUUUUUUCGUUGCUUGCUGCUCUCGCUAUUUGAAAUUUAUGCUACCAAUCACUUUUAUAAUUCAAACUUUUCGUGGUUAAGUCAUGUCUCUCUUUUUUAUUUAUUUCAUUUUGAAUCCUAGCCUCUACACUCACAAGUUAAAAUCUUAGCUACUAUCAUGAGACACAUUUAUAGGUUGGUGGGUGGUUUGGCAUUUCAAGAAAGGUGGCAUCUUUGGUGUGCUUUGAUUCCUUGGCCUAUGUUUCACCAUUAUAUUGUGGUUUAAUCUAAAGGGCAAUUCUUUUGUCUCAAUGAAAUACCAAGUUCAUAUGCAUGACAAAUGCUUGUUUAAAUGUCUAAAUGGUUAGUCUCAGACUCAAUUCUUUCUGUUUUGUUAAAACUUUUAACCGUGCUUCACAACCGUAUCUCAAAGCUCCGUGUUGUUGUUAUUGUCUUUUAGGGAUACUUCAUCAUAUAUGAUAUGUUUAUAUGCUUUGUUUUUGUUUUGUGUGAAAUCACAACAGUUUUCAGUUUUACAUUCCGAGAUCUUGUGAUAUUGUGUUGCGCAGUCUAUUUCCAAUUGCCAUCACUGCCCUCAUACACUGAGGCACACCUUAUGUGAAGCUUAGCUUGCUGAGUGUUUACAGAAAAG